rnacentral:rRNA from 1 species
AACGAACGCUGGCGGCAUGCCUAACACAUGCAAGUCGAACGAGACCUUCGGGUCUAGUGGCGCACGGGUGCGUAACGCGUGGGAACCUGCCCUUAGGUUCGGCAUAACUCCCCGAAAGGGGUGCUAAUACCGGAUAAUGUCUUCGGCCCAAAGAUUUAUCGCCUUUGGAUGGGCCCGCGUUGGAUUAGCUAGUUGGUAGGGUAAAAGCCUACCAAGGCGACGAUCCAUAGCUGGUCUGAGAGGAUGAUCAGCCACACUGGGACUGAGACACGGCCCAGACUCCUACGGGAGGCAGCAGUGGGGAAUAGUGGACAAUGGGCGAAAGCCUGAUCCAGCAAUGCCGCGUGAGUGAUGAAGGCCUUAGGGUUGUAAAGCGCUUUUAACCGGGAUGAUAAUGACAGUACCGGGAGAAUAAGCUCCGGCUAACUCCGUG